CCAUAGAAAUCAGUUUACAGCCAGAGCUCGUCUGGUGUAGAUUAAUAUAUUUGGCAGCAACAAUAUCCCAAAAUUCAAAAUUAUUGUGUAAACCGGAUUUCAGGUGUUAAAUUUAUAUACACUAAUACUUUAAUAAUGGCAAUAUUAAAGUAGAUAGUUAUAUAUAUCUUGGAAUUUUCCGGUACUUUUUAGGCGUGCUCCUAAGUUAACGCGCACAUCUUGGUCAAACGAUCCCAUCCCCCUUAUUAAACCAGUAUCCCCUCUGGGAAAUGCGUACACACGUUUUAAUUCUGCAAAUACUCGAAGUAUGUUUUCCAUUUUGUUAAGUUGCUUGAAAUAAGCAAUAAAUCAUGUUUGCAUACUCAGAUAUUUAUAUUUAUUCAUUUUGUUUACUUAGCCAAUUUUAGCCGUAUACAAAAUCAUCGGCUUUUGCACUUACACACUGGCAGGUUGGUUUUUCUGUUUCGUUUAAAAGCAAGUCAUUGAACUACCCAUAUGGUGACCAAAAAUAUUGAAAAAGGAUCUACCGAGCGACUAAGGCUCAGUCGCGGAAGAAGAAAAAGAAGAAGACUUAUUAAAUGAAUCAAGAGAAUCGGCAUAUUUAUACAUCCUUGAGACGAACAUCGACGGUACCACUGCCUAUUGCCAGGGCGGCGAGUUUGCGUCCAUUGUUUCCAAUCUUAUAUUAUUUUUUCAAGUUUGAUUCUGAUUAUUAUGUUAAGCCAUAGAAAAUAAAAUAGCGCAAUUUCAAAGGAA